ACUCCUACGGGAGGCAGCAGUGGGGAAUAUUGGACAAUGGGCGCAAGCCUGAUCCAGCCAUGCCGCGUGAGUGAUGACGGCCUUAGGGUUGUAAAGCUCUUUCAACGGUGAAGAUAAUGACGGUAACCGUAGAAGAAGCCCCGCGUACAUUCGUGCCAGCAGCCGCGGUAAUACGAAGGGGCGUAGCGUUGUUCGGAAUAACUGGGCGUAAAGCGCACGUAGGCGGAUUGUUAAGUUAGGGGUGAAAUCCCGGGGCUCAACCCCGGCACGUAGCCUUGACUUACUGGCAAUCUAGAGUUCGAGAGAGGUGAGUGGAAUUCCGAGUGUAGAGGUGAAAUUCGUAGAUAUUCGGAGGAACACCAGUGGCGAAGGCGGCUCACUGGCUCGAUACUGACGCUGAGGUGCGAAAGCGUGGGGAGCAAACAGGAUUAGAUACCCU
rnacentral:rRNA from 1 species